UUUGGCCAAUACUUUAAAUGGGUCUACUCUGAAUGGGACUAGCAUUGGAUACGACGACGACCCCCUGGAGGAUCACAACAUUAUUCAUCGGUGCCUUUCCCCACAGCCAGGAACCUCCUGCAAUGUCUUUGUCCAUGCGAGACACAUUGACAAAGGACUCCCUGCUUUCAUCCUGGCAGGUCCUAAUCUAACUUUCAGUUUCUCCUGUUCUAUACAUGCCAAACACCAAGGGAGAUUGAUUCUCUGAGUUAGAUUCUACAAGCAGUGUUGAUUUUAAAGAGAUCUGACCUGGGCACUGGAGCCAUUGAAAUACUGCUCAGCAAACAUGGAGCUUUAGAAAUUCUAACCCACAGCUUCAAAAUGAAUCUUUUGGAAACUUGAAGGCUAGAAACUUGCUUUUCAAACAAACAAACAACCUGAGAUUCC